CUCGGAGCAGAGACGAGGGAAAAGGAUGCGUCCGCGUCGCGAGUCGGGUAUCAUGCUAGUGAGAAAACUGGCGUGAAAACUCUCGGGGCGCUGGCGAGUCUCCUUGUCGUUCCGAGUGGGCCCUUCUAGACGUCAUAUGUGAAAGACAAUAAACCGCCAUGGCGACGAACGCUGAGUCCGUGCGAUAACACAUACCCAACGAGUGAGAGCCUCGGGUUUUAUGACCGAAGAAAACCGAUGGAAAAGAAAGGGCUCAUUUCCAACAUACGGCUGGAAUGACCGUAUGCUGGCGGAAAAUGUACAAUGUGCGAACUCGAAACUGUGAGUGACAAAACGAAGGCGUAGCGUGGGCAAGACGUCAUAACAGUAUAUAGCUUUGAAGCUAUGAGAAUACGAACUCAAACAACGCGAGAAACAUUGUUUUUUUCACAGAUAAGCCAGUAUGCUCGAAUCAGCUUUAUCAAUAUCGGUUUGACAGAAUGCUACUUUGUGAUAGUUGCAAUGGGUUACGGAGUACGGAGUGCAGCCUAAUCGUGUUUACACUAGAAUUGUUGUGGCACAAAAUAAAAGAUAAGAAUACAAUAGAGGAAACGACUCCAACUGUGACAGAAAAAGAAGAUCUCGAAAUCAUAGAAUAUAUUGACUACAUUGCUGCAAGAAUAUUCAGAAAUAUAAGACUUUCUAAAUUUCUGCGAUAAACAAAGC